GCACUAGAAAAAAUUCUUUAUCUUGGUGAUGGAUUUCCAAACUAAUCUCUAUUCUUUGUUCAGAAUUCUCACUGAGAGGAUUUUUUUAGAAUGAAAAGAGAUUGAGAUAGAAUGGGUACCAUAACCACCGUAUAAAAAGAAAACUGACUAGCAGUUUUAAUUUUAUGUUAAUUAUCACUUUUGCCUCACAUAGAAGUAAUAAUUAAACUAUAGUAUCUAUGUAUU
rnacentral:lncRNA from 1 species